AUCAUGUCUAGAGAAAGAGACAGAUUUAGGGAAUUUGAAAGUGGUUAUGAAAAACAGAAGAAAAAGGAAAAACGUGAAAAGUUUUUGAAAUCACAACAAGGUGCACUAGUUCAAUUUUAAAAAUAAGAUGGAGCUGAACUGAAGGUGGAGGAUCAGUUGAUGUUUGUUGAGUAUCGUCCCGGAAGAAUUGGUUUGUGCAUAAGCGGGCAAACUUGAUCUGCACCGAAGAGUGGUUGAAAAUCCCAUUUCGGACAAAAUAGUGGUAUUGAUCGGCGUUAAUUACUUUUUAAAGAAUGUGAACGUGUACAGAAUGUGUGAAGAAAUCUCUGCACUUUUGAGGACAUUACAGAAGAGAGCCUCCAAAAUAAUUCUGCUGACACUCCCACCGAUUCCACGCUUAGCAAGGAGGAACAGUACCGUACACACUUUGAUCAACUAGAGAUCUAUAACUCACACAUAAGAAGCCUAGGGAACAAUGUAUGGCAGUACCGUUCCGCAGUGGUGGUUGGCCGCUACCGUAUGCAUCAUCUAAUCAUAGAAAAUGUAUUGAUAAUUUAACAGCUGAUAGUUGUAUUCAUAUUUCAUUAAUUUUUCUUUGUUUGCAUGUUGUUGUUCACAAUUUGCUUUUGUGUUAAAGGUUAAAGUUAUUACUAUUCUUCUAAAACCAUUGUAGUUACUAUUCUUAUUUGUUGUUCUUGUUCCUUGUUUGUUAUUAGUUCUGCUUUGUGUACGUCCAUUUUGAUACUGCUCAAAUCAAAUUGUAUUUACUUACUGCAUGUCAUUGUCAAAAAUUAUUUUGUAUGUUAUGUUUAAGUUAGAUUAAGUCAUCUAUACAAAACAUUGUAAAUUGGUUCUUGACCGUUGGAAGGUAAAAUAAAUAAAUAAAUAAAGUGUG